UUCUUUGAUUUAAAUCGAUUCAGAAUAAUAUCAAUAAAAGACAAAUACAACCAAUGAUUUGGUAAAUAAAUAUAAAUAACUAUUGUUUUAAAUUAUGGUGCGGAUUAAAGUCUCUUUUAUACGAAUUUAAUAAACAAACAAAGUCGAGUAACACACUAAUUUUUGAAAGUAUUUAUAUUAAAAUAAAGUAAUUUCCAAACUCUAAAAAAAAUCUUAACAAAUUUUUUAAAUCAAAAUUUAUAAUUUAAACGUUUUUCCUUUGGAAAAUACCCAUGUGUGUGUGCGUGUGUGUGGCAGGAGAAGUGGUGACAAGGCUUAGGUGAUGUUUUACUGGCGGCCAUUAAUGCGGCUACCGUUUGGUCGUUCCGAACGGAGACUCUGGUGGCUCCCCCGCUCCCCGCUCCCCGCUCCGGUAUCCCUUUUGGCUUUUACUGGAAAAGUGGAAAACCCCUGGCCGCUGGCCGACUGCCGACUGCCGCCUCACAUUUUGUGCAACAAAGGUUCGCCUCCUGCAAUGCGGCAAAAAGCGGCGCGGUUUUUGCAGCUCCAUUGCCAUCGCCCGCGUCGACCGCGAAAGCCACAAGCCCGGUGUCUUUGUGUGAGUGCGUUUGUACACAGAGAGAAAAAAACUGAUGAAUACAGCAACGGAAAUAUUUAUUUAAAUAUAAUAAUAAUCAGAGGUGCUGCAUAAAUGAUCCAAUUGAAGCCUCAGAGCCCUCUUUAAGGUGAUGGACCUUAGGGUGGUACCUUAAUGUCUGCCGUCAGUGUUUCGUGUGUUUUUGGUUGCGACGAUGGAGACUGAAGCGAACCUCUUCAUGUCAUGCGGAAUGCUGUAUAAUCAUUACGACUGGCCCCUUGAAAUAUGCAAUGUUGGCCAAAGCCCUGACAUGGUCACCAAGGAGGAAGGAGCAAGAGGAGGAUCGAAGAAUUGGUUGUGAAAGGAGCAGGAUUCAACGAGGCAACGAGGACAGGCGGCAAAGCAAACAAACAAACCAGCCAAGCAAACUGAAAACAAAAACAAAACGACGGCAAGCAGAAGCAACAACUGGUAGCAGCUCACAGGACAGGAACACACACACACAGGCUUAACAUAUACACAGAGAAUAAU